rnacentral:SRP_RNA from 2 species
UUAUGCUAGGCGGGGAGCUAGCGGUUCCCUGUUUCCAGAAAUCCGCUUUAUGCUGGGCUGAAUCCCUCCUGGAGGGUUUUGCUCUGAAACUUGCAGCCAGUUGACCGGCCGCCGCGCAACAGACGGUCGCGAACCUCGUCAGAUCCGGAAGGAAGCAGCGAUAAGUGAUGCGGUCUGUGUCGCGGAUUGAUCCCGGUCAUCUCUGGCUCAUGUCUUCAGAAAAAAUUCGAUAGGGGGUGCAUAA